rnacentral:rRNA from 1 species
UACAGAGGUCUCAAGCGUUGUUCGGAUUCAUUGGGCGUAAAGGGUGCGUAGGCGGCGCGGUAAGUCGGGUGUGAAAUCUUGGAGCUUAACUCCGAAACUGCAUUCGAUACUGCCGUGCUUGAGGACUGGAGAGGAGACUGGAAUUUACGGUGUAGCGGUGAAAUGCGUAGAUAUCGUAAGGAAGACCAGUGGCGAAGGCGGGUCUCUGGACAGUUCCUGACGCUGAGGCAUGAAGGUCAGGGGAGCAAACGGG